rnacentral:rRNA from 1 species
UACGUAGGGUGCAAGCAUUAAUCGGAAUUACUGGGCGUAAAGCGUGCGCAGGCGGUUGUGCAAGACAGAUGUGAAAUCCCCGGGCUUAACCUGGGAACUGCAUUUGUGACUGCACGGCUAGAGUGUGUCAGAGGGGGGUAGAAUUCCACGUGUAGCAGUGAAAUGCGUAGAUAUGUGGAGGAAUACCGAUGGCGAAGGCAGCCCCCUGGGAUAACACUGACGCUCAUGCACGAAAGCGUGGGGAGCAAACAGG